rnacentral:rRNA from 1 species
AGUGAACGCUGGCGGUAGGCCUAACACAUGCAAGUCGAACGGCAGCACAGUAAGAGCUUGCUCUUACGGGUGGCGAGUGGCGGACGAGUGAGGAAUACAUCGGAAUCUACUUUUUCGUGGGGGAUAACGUAGGGAAACUUACGCUAAUACCGCAUACGACCUACGGGUGAAAGCAGGGGAUCUUCGGACCUUGCGCGAUUGAAUGAGCCGAUGUCGGAUUAGCUAGGUGGCGGGGUAAAGGCCCACCAAGGCGACGAUCCGUAGCUGGUCUGAGAGGAUGAUCAGCCACACUGGAACUGAGACACGGUCCAGACUCCUACGGGAGGCAGCAGUGGGGAAUAUUGGACAAUGGGCGCAAGCCUGAUCCAGCCAUACCGCGUGGGUGAAGAAGGCCUUCGGGUUGUAAAGCCCUUUUGUUGGGAAAGAAAAGCAGCAGGUUAAUCCCCCGCUGUUCUGACGGUACCCAAAGAAUAAGCACCGGCUAACUUCGUG